UACAGAGGUCUCAAGCGUUGUUCGGAUUCAUUGGGCGUAAAGGGUGCGUAGGCGGUGCGGUAAGUCGGGUGUGAAAUCUCGGAGCUUAACUCCGAAACUGCAUUCGAUACUGCCGUGCUUGAGGACUGUAGAGGAGACUGGAAUUUACGGUGUAGCGGUGAAAUGCGUAGAUAUUGUGAGGAACACUAGUGGCGAAGGCGAGUCUCUGGACAGUUCCUGACGCUGAGGCACGAAGGCCAGGGGAGCAAACGGG
rnacentral:rRNA from 1 species